rnacentral:tRNA from 3 species
AAGUUAAUGAACUUGAAAUAAGUCUAUAUUUUGAAAAUAUAAAAAAGAGAUAAAAUUCUCUAUUAACUU